AUCCUUUUGUAAUUCAUAAGCAUGAUGAUUGGGUUUUCAUGAGCCCGUAUGAGAUGUGCCUCCCACAAAUCUUGUUACAACAUAGGCACAUUACCCAUCUGACA
ensembl:snoRNA